GUUUUUGUUGAGGCGAUCCCCAAGAUAUGGGAAAUUGACCAAGCUUUCGAUCGUCACAACAUGAACUUUUAUUGUCAGAGUCUGCAGUCUGUAAGGAUUCCUUAAUGUGACUGGUAGCUCAACCAGUUGGAUCAUAUCACUGUUAUUGGAUGUCAGCGAUCCCCAGGGUGGAAGCAACCAAUGCAGAAUAUGGGAAGUCCAUACGCAGAUGAUCCAGGGUCAAUGAGAUGACAUCUGCAGUGGACCUGUUGCUCAGUCGGCAAAUUGGAGUGGAGCCAAGUCGUUUCUCAGGCGGGAGUUGAUAUGUUCCAACAUCAGCCACUCAAAACGUCAUGACUGUGGAUUCUUGUGUUCCACGUUCCAAGGAUUGAUCAGUGAGGCUUCAGAGCGAUCGGUACGGACGGAGGUACCUCGGUGAUGAAUGGUACUGCGGCCCGUAGUGUGUUAGUGGCGCAGAGUUGACUGAACUAAACUGAAAACUCCUGGACUCCUCAUUGAAUGUUGAUUUUCUAUGUUUUGCGCUGGCUUUUUGCCAUUUGCAUAGUUUGCUUUUUUAUUUGCAUGUUGGAUAUUUGAUGUUUUCUUGAACGGGUUCCAUGGUGUUUCUUUGUUUUGUAGCUGG